rnacentral:rRNA from 1 species
GUGAGCAGCCAUAGCUCCUAUACUUCAGGCUGGGUGAUCCAUCUGAAGCUAAGCAGGUUUGGGCCUGGUUACUACUUGGAUGGGAGACCAGCUAAGAAAGCUGUGUUGCCCCUG